rnacentral:rRNA from 1 species
CAGUCGCCGCGGGAACACGUGGGGUGCGAGCGUUAAUCGGAAUUACUGGGCGUAAAGCGUGCGCAGGCGGUUAUAUAAGACAGAUGUGAAAUCCCCGGGCUCAACCUGGGACCUGCAUUUGUGACUGUAUAGCUAGAGUACGGUAGAGGGGGAUGGAAUUCCGCGUGUAGCAGUGAAAUGCGUAGAUAUGCGGAGGAACACCGAUGGCGAAGGCAAUCCCCUGGACCUGUACUGACGCUCAUGCACGAAAGCGUGGGGAGCAAACAGGAUUAGAUACCCCCGUAGUCCCUGUCUCUUAUAC